CACGCCCUAAACGAUGUCAACUAGGUGUCGGGAGCGCAAGUUCUUGGUACCGCAGCUAACGCGUGAAGUUGACCGCCUGGGGAGUACGGUCGCAAGAUUAAAACUCAAAGGAAUUGACGG
rnacentral:rRNA from 1 species